GUUCAAACAGUCUACACUGGGAGGUUCAAACAGUCUACACUGAGAGGUUCAAACAGUCUACACUGGGAGGUUCAAACAGUCUACACUGGGAGGUUCAAACAGUCUACACUGGGAGGUUCAAACAGUCUACACUGGGAGGUUUAAACAGUCUACACUGGGAGGUUUAAACAGUCUACACUGGGAGGUUUAAACAGUCUACACUGGGAGGUUCAAACAGUCUACACUGGGAGGUUCAAACAGUCUACACUGGGAGGUUCAAACAGUCUACACUGAGAGGUUCAAACAGUCUACACUAGGGAGUUCAUACAGUCUACCCUGGGAGGUUCAAACAGUCUACACUGGGAGGUUCAAACAGUCUACACUGGGAGGUUCAAACAGUCUACACUGGGAGGUUUAAACAGUCUACACUGGGAGGUUCAAACAGUCUACACUGGGAGGUUUAAACAGUCUACACUGGGAGGUUCCAACAGUCUACACUGGUUGGUUCCAACAAUCUACACUGGGAGGUUUAAA
rnacentral:lncRNA from 1 species